rnacentral:rRNA from 1 species
UACGGAGGGGGCGAGCGUUAUUCGGAAUUAUUGGGCGUAAAGGGCGCGUAGGCGGCUUGAUGUGUCAAAAGUGAAAUCCCUCAGCUUAACUGGGGAACUGCGUCUGAUACUGGAUGGCUUGAGUUUGGGAGAGGGAUGCGGAAUUCCAGGUGUAGCGGUGAAAUGCGUAGAUAUCUGGAGGAACACCGGUGGCGAAGGCGGCAUCCUGGACCAACACUGACACUGAGGAGCGAAAGCCAGGGGAGCAAACGGG